rnacentral:rRNA from 1 species
CCUGGCGGCAAUAGCGCGGUGGUCCCACCUGACCCCAUGCCGAACUCAGAAGUGAAACGCCGUAGCGCCGAUGGUAGUGUGGGGUCUCCCCAUGCGAGAGUAGGACACUGCCAAUG